GUGGGGAAUCUUCCGCAAUGGACGAAAGUCUGACGGAGCGACGCCGCGUGAGUGAAGAAGGCCUUCGGGUCGUAAAGCUCUGUCAUCAGGGACGAACGGCCGGUGGAGUGGAAAGCCACCGGAUUGACGGUACCUGAGAAGGAAGCCACGGCUAACUACGUGCCAGCAGCCGCGGUAAUACGUAGGUGGCAAGCGUUGUCCGGAAUUAUUGGGCGUAUAGCGCGCGCAGGUGGGAUCUUAAGUCCAUUUUUAAAGUCCGGAGCUCAACUCCGUGAUGGGAUGGAAACUGGGAUUCUUGAGUACCGGAGAGGAAAGCGGAAUUCCCCGUGUAGCGGUGAAAUGCGUAGAUAUGGGGAGGAACACCAGUGGCGAAGGCGGCUUUCUGGACGGUGUCUGACACUGAGGCGCGAAAGCCAGGGGAGCGAACGGGAUUAGAAACCCGGGUAGUCC
rnacentral:rRNA from 1 species